UCCAGUGGUAUAGUGGUUAGAACGUAUGCCUCAGAUGCAGAAGGCUGUGGGUUCGAUCCCUGGCCAGGUCAU